AAAGUGAAGCCGAUUAUCGCAAAUCACUUGGUUGAUUGUUGUAACCGCGAACACAGUUGGUUUUCUAUGCUUUCGAUAUAAUUGAUGUAUUGCACAUCUAAUAAUACCUGUUUACUGUGGUGGAUCACAAAGUGGUGAAAUAAUUUUCGUAUACUUAUUAUAGCUUAUUUGCGCACAAGUUGCACUGCUAGUUGUGGACGCCGAAAACAUGGAUUAAAAUGUUCAAUGAUCUGCGGAUACUGUAAAGGAAAUUCUUGCCUUAAUGCGAUGGAAGCCGCAUUGACGAAGAUGAUAUUGAAUCAAUACCAGAUGAAGAUAACAACACCUCAAACAAAGAAACAGAGGAUAAAAACAACGCUAAUCAGGUGCAUUUCAGUGAUGAUCAACCUACCACUAGUGAUCAAAAACGAAUACAAUUUCAAUAGAAUGAAAGAGAUUAUUAUAUUAUAAAUAAAGUUUUGUUUAAAUUUAAUAGUUUGU
rnacentral:misc_RNA from 1 species